CUGGCCUCAAACUCAGAGAUCUGCCUGCCUCUGCCUCCCAAGUUUUGGGAUUAAAGGUGAGCACCGUUGCCAGGCUCUGCAUCACUGUGGUUAUAAUAAUAUAUCACACACUAAGCAUUGUGGGUUUGAUGUAGUUUGUCCCUAAAGAAGAGAGAUCUCCAGGAUGGAGAUGCUAAGUAGGACCUUUAAAGAGAUAAGCCCCGAGGAGGACAGUGGUGGUUUCUGCCUGUAAUCUCAGCACUAGAAAGAGGGGAGUGUAUCUCAAAUUCUUAGUCUUUGUGGGAUACAUGGGAAGACCCUUGUUUUGUUUUGUUUUUUAAGUGUAUGUGUGUGUGGAGGGUACCAAUGACUCAAAAAAAACUAAACAAGGAAUCAAAUGAAUCAAACAACCUUCACAAUAAAUAAACUAAUGAAGUAAGUAGACAGUUCUCAAAGGAUGAAAUAGAGGUGGCCAAUAAACAUACAAAAAAAAUAUUCAACUACUCUAGCAAAUCAAAAUGAGUAGAUUCUGUUUCCAGUUGCCAAUAUCACACUGCCACAGACUAGGUACAAUAAAUUUAAAAAGGCUCACUUGGGCUCACCAUCUAAUUCAGGAUGGAAGGUCCACAUCACAUCAUGACCUUUUUAUUAGGGGAGUCCCAAGGUCCCUUGACCUUCCCUUCUUGAAGCAAAGCCAAGAAUAUCCCCACCCUGAUGCCUCAUUGCCCGUAAUCACCUCCCGCAGGCCGCGGAUCUAAAUACAAUAAUAGAAUCAAGCUUUAGUGGGUUUUUUUGUUUGUUUGUUUUUGUUUUUCAAGACAGGAUUUCUCUGUGUGUCCCUGGCUGUCUUAAAACUUGCUUUGUAGACCUGGCUGGCCUUGACCACAGAGAUCUGGUUGCUUUUGCCUCUCUCCAGGGUGCAAGGUGCCACCUCACUUGGCUUGAAUUAAGUUUUUGACUUCUUAGUACCUCUCGCUGGGUGGCGGAGGUCCAUGGAGGCACUGUAGGCAGAGACAGGAGGAUCUCUCUGAGCUCGAGGAUGGCUUGGUCUACAGACCAGGCUCCAGAACAGACAGGGCUACACAGAGAAAUUCUGUGAAAACAAAACAAAAUAAAACAAAACAAAACAAAACAAUGUAACUCUCCAUGUGGAUUAAAUUUCAACAGGAAUUCCCAAGGAACAGUUGGUGAAGUGUGAAGACAGAGACAGAAGGAUCAAGCAUGGAAGGUCAGCGUUAGGAGCAUAGUAAGGCCCAGGCCAGCCUGAAUGAAUGAAACAAAGAAUCCUUGAAGGACAGGUUCAAACCACAUCCAAACCUUAGCAUGCAAUUCAGUGUCUGUUUCCAAGGAGCUUGUCACCUUCCAAAUGAAAUCACAUCAGGUCAGGACGUUCCCAGUACUCUGAUGGAGAUGGCAGAGGAGACAGGUUUUCUCUGUGUAGCCCUGUGUAGUCCUAGAAUGCAUUCUGUAGACCAGACUGACCUACCUGCCACCGCUUCCUGAGUGCUGGUAUCAAAGAUGUAUUCCACCACCACCUGGCUUUCAAUAAACCCAUCUUAAGCUGACCACAGCAAGUUGAAAGAGCUUCGCCUAACCUGCCAAACACAGCGAAGCAACACAGUCCUGCACAUAGCUCACCUCAUAGCAGUGCAGAGAAGAUCCCAUGGCCUGCCACCAGCACCAGUUGAGAUUAAAAUCUGAAAUUCAA